rnacentral:rRNA from 1 species
UGCGUAGGCGGAUAUAUAAGUUAGAUGUGAAAAGCCAGGGCUUAACCUUGGUCGUGCAUUUAAGACUGUAUGUCUAGAGUUUGUGAGAGGGGUGUAGAAUUCCAAGUGUAGCAGUGAAAUGCGUAGAGAUUUGGAGGAAUACCGAUGGCGAAGGCAGCGCCCUGGCAUAGAACUGACGCUGAGGCACGAAAGCGUGGGUAGCAAACAGGAUUAGAUACCCUGGUAGUCCACGCCCUAAACGAUGUUUACUUGCUGUUGGGGGUAACCUAAGUAGCGAAGCUAACGCGAGAAGUAAACCGCCUGGGGAGUACGGUCGCAAGAUUAAA